UAGUUGGAUUUCUGUUGUGGGUUGCCGGCCGGGUUCUCUGAACUUGUAGCUAGGUUAACUUGCAGCAUCUUGCCGUAAUCCUCACUGGCAUUCAUUUGUUGGUGUAGGGGACCGGCUCGUUUACUUUGAGAAAAUUAGAGUGUUCAAAGCAGGCUAUAGCUUUGAAUAUGUUAGCAUGGAAUAAUAAUAUAGGACUUUACGUUCUAUUUUGUUGGUUGUUCGAGGACGUAAGUAAUGAUUGAUAGGGACAGUUGGGGGCAUCAGUAUUCUGAAGCGAGAGGUGAAAUUCUUGGACCUUCGGAAGACUAACAACUGCGAA
rnacentral:rRNA from 1 species